rnacentral:rRNA from 1 species
AGGACAAACGCUGGCGGCGUACUUAAGACAUGCAAGUCGAACGGGCGCCUCACCUUCGGGUGGGUGUGCUAGUGGCGGACGGGUGAGUAACGCGUAGGAACCUGUCAUCAAGAGGGGGAUAACGCUGGGAAACCGGCGCUAAUACCGCAUGUGGUCAUGAAAAUGAAGAAAGCAGCAAUGCGCUUGAUGAGGGGCCUGCGUCCGAUUAGCUUGUUGGUGGGGUAAAGGCCUACCAAGGCAUCGAUCGGUAGCUGGUCUGAGAGGAUGGUCAGCCACACUGGGACUGAGACACGGCCCAGACUCCUACGGGAGGCAGCAGUUAGGAAAUUUUCCCAAUGGGCGCAAGCCUGAGGGAGUAACGCCGCGUGGAGGAUGACGGCUUUCGGGUUGUAAACUCCUUUUCUGUGGGAAGAGUAGAAGACGGUACCGCAGGAAUAAGCCUCGGCUAACUACGUGCCAGCAGCCGC